AGUGGGAUGACUGGGUCAUAUAGUGGUUCCAUUACUAUUUUUUGAAGAAUAUUCAUACUGCUUUCUGAAGUGGUUGUACUAAUUUGCAGCCCCACCAACAAU
rnacentral:pre_miRNA from 1 species